GAUGAAGAACGUAGCUAAAUGCGAUAAGUAGUGUGAAUUGCAGAAUUCAGUGAAUCAUCGAAUCUUUGAACGCACAUUGCGCCCUUUGGUAUUCCAAAGGGCAUGCCUGUUCGAGCGUCAUUUGUACCCUCAAGCUUUGCUUGGUGUUGGGCGUCUUGUCUCUAGCUUUGCUGGAGACUCGCCUUAAAGUAAUUGGCAGCCGGCCUACUGGUUUCGGAGCGCAGCACAAGUCGCACUCUCUAUCAGCAAAGGUCUAGCAUCCAUUAAGCCUUUUUUUCAACUUUUGACCUCGGAUCAGGUAGGGAUACCCGCUGAACUUAAGCAUAUCAAUAAGCGGAGGA
rnacentral:misc_RNA from 1 species